ensembl:lincRNA 4930599A14Rik RIKEN cDNA 4930599A14 gene
GAGUAGAGUAGUGUCUUAGCUGGGUUGGUAGUAUGAUGGAAUUAUUGGGAGGUGCUCAAAGGGAGGAGGUUUGUGAACCCAGGAAGUUAUUGCUGGCUGUGUGCCCUUGAAAAUGCAUCUUUCAUGGCUUCUUCUUGUCCCGCCCCCUCCUCUGCUUCCUGUCAGUUAUGGUGUGAACAGCUCUCUUCUGCCAUGCCAUCACCAAUGAUGGUGCAAAUCAUGUGAAACUGUAAGCUGAAGUGUCUUUUCUUGAUUCCGGCAAGAUGACUACAUGGCCUGUAUAUGAAUCCUUCCAGAAGUGAGAUCUACCAAAGUCUAUCUGGCUGGUGCCUCUGCUGAGGAUGUGUAGACCU